rnacentral:tRNA from 1 species
AAAGACUUAAGUUAAUGAAGACUCUAAGCCUUCAAAGCUUAAAGUGUAGGUUAAACUCCUACAGUCUUUG